UAAUGCCAAAGCUUCGAGAAGAGGGUAAACAGCCCAAUUUGAGCCCGAGCCCGAGUUGCGAUGUCUGAGAGGGAUCCGAGCGGAUCAUCUGUAAUUCUUCCUCCACAGUUCUGCUUGGCAUUUUCACAUAACUGUUCAAGACUGAAAGUUCUGAAAACGUGGAGCCACCAGCUGACUUCCCUUUCCGUCUCAUUAGUCGGGGUGGAGGCACAAGGCCAGCUGAGCUACGAGGGAAACAAGGAAGUGAGUUUCUGGCAACGGGAGGUGGGACGGUCGUGACCAGGCAAAGCGGCUGCUUCAGUGUCCCCGGAACGUUGAAAAAUAAGAGUUUUAUUUCCUUGUAAAAGUUAAUAGAUAAUCAUGAAGAAAGUUUAGAAAGAGGAAAAAAAAAAAAAAUUCCCCCAAUGCGGCUGCUCAGCACCUUUUAAUACUUAUAAUCAUAUUGUACUGUGGGACUUUUUUUGACCUAACAUGAUUAGUUUAAAGCUCUAUGGUUUUUGAAAUCUAUUAUUUCGAAAUAAAACAUAAACCAAGGAGGUAGCACCGAGCAGCAGGAAGGGGGCUGGCUUUGGUGUAAAGAGACGGUGCUUGGAGCCCGGGUCCUGGCACGAAUCCAUCACUGUAUUUCUGCUUCCUCAAAAUCGAGAAAUGUGUUUCCUGAGUUCCACCACUUCCAAGGCUUCGUGAUCACAAGAGCCGUGUCUUUGAGACACGCAAGCCAUGCUGUUCAGAUACUGACUCAACACAGUGGGUCUAGACCGCAAAGACAAGCAGAAGAGUGAACUGGAAGUUACCACCGUGUGAAACUGGGUGCCUGAUAUGCAAUAAUGUAAGAUACAAUACAGAAUGUGUACCCGUGCUUCCUGUUUUUCAACGGCAGCCAGAAAUCUGGAUUUUCAUGUGAAAUUAUUAGCUUUUAAAACAGGGACACCUAAUUUGAAAAGCAAAAUACUCUAGAGGCCAGACAAAACACAUCUGCUCAAUGUCAGUCUGCAGCUCUGGCUAAACCAGCAACCAGCUUGAGCAACACUGGAAAAGGGAUGUAUGGGGUGAGACGGGAGGUGGGAGUAGGAAAAGCUGCUUAUAGGAGCUUUGGGUCAUGCAGCAGCUGGAAUAGUACAAGCCGUCUAAAACAUCAAAUACUUAUAUUAAUGGUGAAUACAUACAAUCUAGGCUUUUUAGCAUCUCUAGUUUUUUACACCGAGGCCAUCAUUACUUCCCGCUGCGGAUUCUGAAACACCCUCGGGUGUGACCUGAGCUUUGACCUGCGCUCCUGAGUUAAGCACGUGCUCUAUGGGAAACAACUGAAUCGGAUCCUGUGAGGUCCCGAAGUGUCUCAUCGGAAUGUGAAACAUGCCAAUUUUUUUCUCUUUCAUGUGUGUUUCCCCCGAUUGCUGAUCGUUACGGUUCGAAAUCAAGUCCUGUGUCUUUUGCCUCCAUCGUUCAGUUUAAGGACAAAACGAAAAUGAAAAUCACGAGCGUCUUCGACGGGUGUUCCCUUGCGCUCGAAUUGCCACCUCCAGCCGUUUGUUCUCUUCUCAGCCUAAAUGUUGCCCCUUUCAUGUCUCCCCUUCAGAGAGAGAACGACCCACGACACCAGGCGCUGCAGGUCUUCGCACUCUCAGCAGUUCUGACUCUCGCUGCCUGAAACCGGUACAGAAAGAGGAUGUAACAACGUUGAACUUUUUAUGUGAUUUUUUUUGCCUUUGACACAGUUGUUAGAGGUUUUUUUUUUUUUUUUUUUUUUUUUUUUUUUUUUUUUUUUUUUAAAGCAACAGCGCCCUACGAGGACACCAGGUUUCUAAAUGAUUCAUCUUCUCACAGACCUUGAUAUUCAAUCCAGGUGUAGGAAUAACAGGAUAGCCCUUGGGUUCUAUCCUCGGGGCUUGGAAAGGCUUCAGUGAAAUUCUAUAGCAAAAGGCCCCUGUGCUUACCCUGACUUUCUCUUUGUUCUACUCACUUUUUAUCUCUGAAAAGCAAAGGGAUUUCCUUGGGGGAUUAAGCAGAGGAAACAACCAAAGGUAGCUAUCGUGUUUCAUUCGAAUUAGGAGAUGCAAAGAAUCCUGAAGUCAACUCAACGGGAAGCCCUUUGCCCCAGUCUUGGAAGGGUCCCCGGGUCUCACCAGCACGAGCGUCACAAGUCCUCAUCCCACCCAGACGUAUCAUCCUCUCUUCUCCCUCACCCGACCCCCACUCCGGGAAUAUCUUGGACAAACAGUAGUGGUUUCUCGAGCAAGGCAGAGAAAUGUCUCAUCGGAAUGUGAUACAUGCCAAUUUUUGUCUCUUUUCAAAAGUUUUUCCAUGUAAUAUCUUGCUAACACAAAAUCAUUUUGCAAUUACAUAUUUUUAAAUGGAUGGGUGCUGUUCUCACCCUGCGAGAUUCUGGUUUUGAGUCACUGAAAGGAACAGAGGUAGAAGAACGAGACAGAUGACUAGUUUUCUUAGUGAUAGAUCUUAGAAGCUGCUGCUCAAAGAAUGAGAUGAAAGGGAAGCAUUUCCCAUACCUCCAGCCGGACUUAUCUAUCUCCUGUCAACACAAAGCUACAUAAAAAAUACAUAUUGAGCUGCUAUUCAAGAGUCGCUACAAAAUCUUGAAAUAAACAAUAACAUAAGUCACAUUUCUAUUAGACUUCUCAAAUUUUUACAUCCUGAUUUCUGGUUGACAUCUACUUUAAAAAUAUCCAAUGAUAACCUGAAUGGCCAAUUUCUAAGUUAGCCAUAUUUUUUACUAAUUCCUUUUGAAGUAAAGUAAGGGUGUUUUUUUUUUUCUUUUGGUUAAUGAUUUUAAAAUGUUAAAAGAGCAAACUUUUUCACAUUUCCUUAUGUAACGUUGUAUUUUUCUUUUGCUUAUUAUGAUCACUCGUUACAUUUUUAGGGAGAUGCUUCAUUUAUACUUUUAGUGUUUGGGGAGUAGUCUGUGAAAUUUGACAUAUAGUAUUUCCAUUUGAUUUAAAAAUACUCUUCAUCACACUUUGGGUUUCCUCUCUAGCCCAAAUAUUAUUUAGCGGAGUUUAUCUUUUUCAUUUUUUUUUAAAUUUUAUUUUAUUAUUUCUUUUUCAUUUUUUCUAUGUGGUUAUUUUGUUAUUUCUAAUUGUAUGAUUUACUCUCUGGACAUGUGGAUUGUAGAGUUGUGACUUAUAUUGUGUAGUACAGAACAUGGUUAAUUUUUAUCAAAAAUAGCCUUGGGCGAAAAGCAAGCUUGCUUAUGUGUCCAUGUAGUUUUUUUGCACAUAUGUUAAAUCUGCCUUAUUAAUUUUGUAUCACUUUAUGUCACAUGGAUUAACUAAAUUCUACUUCUGAACUGCUGAUAUUCCUAAUUACAUUAUAUACUGUAUUUCUGCCCAUUUUUUUCUAUGUAUGCACUUUUUGCUGAAUAAAUUUAGAAAUUUUAGAUGAGAGCCU
rnacentral:lncRNA from 1 species